UCUGGUAUUGAUUGGUGCUUGCAUCAUGAUUUACAUUUGAGUGAGUGGCGAACUGGUGAGUAACACGUGGGAAACCUGCCCAGAAGCGGGGGAUAACACCUGGAAACAGAUGCUAAUACCGCAUAACAACUUGGACCGCAUGGUCCGAGUUUGAAAGAUGGCUUCGGCUAUCACUUUUGGAUGGUCCCGCGGCGUAUUAGCUAGAUGGUGGGGUAACGGCUCACCAUGGCAAUGAUACGUAGCCGACCUGAGAGGGUAAUCGGCCACAUUGGGACUGAGACACGGCCCAAACUCCUACGGGAGGCAGCAGUAGGGAAUCUUCCACAAUGGACGAAAGUCUGAUGGAGCAACGCCGCGUGAGUGAAGAAGGGUUUCGGCUCGUAAAACUCUGUUGUUAAAGAAGAACAUAUCUGAGAGUAACUGUUCAGGUAUUGACGGUAUUUAACCAGAAAGCCACGGCUAACUACGUGCCAGCAGCCGCGGUAAUACGUAGGUGGCAAGCGUUGUCCGGAUUUAUUGGGCGUAAAGCGAGCGCAGGCGGUUUUUUAAGUCUGAUGUGAAAGCCUUCGGCUCAACCGAAGAAGUGCAUCGGAAACUGGGAAACUUGAGUGCAGAAGAGGACAGUGGAACUCCAUGUGUAGCGGUGAAAUGCGUAGAUAUAUGGAAGAACACCAGUGGCGAAGGCGGCUGUCUGGUCUGUAACUGACGCUGAGGCUCGAAAGUAUGGGUAGCAAACAGGAUUAGAUACCCUGGUAGUCCAUACCGUAAACGAUGAAUGCUAAGUGUUGGAGGGUUUCCGCCCUUCAGUGCUGCAGCUAACGCAUUAAGCAUUCCGCCUGGGGAGUACGGCCGCAAGGCUGAAACUCAAAGGAAUUGACGGGGGCCCGCACAAGCGGUGGAGCAUGUGGUUUAAUUCGAAGCUACGCGAAGAACCUUACCAGGUCUUGACAUACUAUGCAAAUCUAAGAGAUUAGACGUUCCCUUCGGGGACAGGGAUACAGGUGGUGCAUGGUUGUCGUCAGCUCGUGUCGUGAGAUGUUGGGUUAAGUCCCGCAACGAGCGCAACCCUUAUUAUCAGUUGCCAGCAUUAAGUUGGGCACUCUGGUGAGACUGCCGGUGACAAACCGGAGGAAGGUGGGGAUGACGUCAAAUCAUCAUGCCCCUUAUGACCUGGGCUACACACGUGCUACAAUGGAUGGUACAACGAGUUGCGAACUCGCGAGAGUAAGCUAAUCUCUUAAAGCCAUUCUCAGUUCGGAUUGUAGGCUGCAACUCGCCUACAUGAAGUCGGAAUCGCUAGUAAUCGCGGAUCAGCAUGCCGCGGUGAAUACGUUCCCGGGCCUUGUACACACCGCCCGUCACACCAUGAGAGUUUGUAACACCCAAAGUCGGUGGGGGUAACCUUUUUAGGAACCCAGCCCGGC
rnacentral:rRNA from 2 species